rnacentral:rRNA from 1 species
UACGGGGGGUGCGAGCGUUGUCCGGAAUCACUGGGCGUAAAGGGCGCGUAGGCGGCCUGUUAAGUCGAACGUGAAAUCCCCGGGCUCAACCCGGGAACUGCGUCCGAUACUGGCAGGCUUGAAUCCGGGAGAGGGAUGCGGAAUUCCAGGUGUAGCGGUGAAAUGCGUAGAUAUCUGGAGGAACACCGGUGGCGAAGGCGGCAUCCUGGACCGGCAUUGACGCUGAGGCGCGAAAGCCAGGGGAGCAAACGGG